CCUUUAGGAGGCACAACUUGAUGGCAAUGUAGUCACAGAUUUGCCAAGUGAUCCUAUAUUGCACAACAUGAGAACUCGAAGGGUUCAAGCUGCCAGCAUGGGCAUAUCAGAAUCAAGACAAAAGCAAGUCUACCUUAUUUCAC